rnacentral:rRNA from 1 species
CCUAUCAGUAUCCUGAGUAGGGCGGGACACGUGAAAUCCCGUUUGAAUCCGCGAGGACCAUCUCGCAAGGCUAAAUACUAACCAGUGACCGAUAGUGAACCAGUACCGUGAGGGAAAGGUGAAAAGAACCCCGGGAGGGGAGUGAAAGAGAACCUGAAACCGUGUGCCUACAAGUAGUCAGAGCCCGUUAACGGGUAAUGGCGUGCCUUUUGUAGAAUGAACCGGCGAGUUGCGUUAGUCAGCAAGGUUAAGUCAGAAAAGACGGAGCCGUAGCGAAAGCGAGUCUGAAGAGGGCGAGCAGUUGGCUGACGCAGACCCGAAACCAAGUGACCUACCCAUGACCAGGUUGAAGGCGCGGUAAAACGCGCUGGAGGACCGAACCCACGUAAGUUGAAAAUUGCGGGGAUGAGUUGUGGGUAGCGGUGAAAUUCCAAACGAACUUGGAGAUAGCUGGUUCUCUCCGAAAUAGCUUUAGGGCUAGCCUCGCAAAGAGGAUGCUGGAGGUAGAGCUCUGUUUGGACUAGGGGCCCGUCAAGGGUUACUGAAUUCAGAUAAACUGCGAAUUCCAGACAUUUAUGUGCGGGAGUCAGACUGCGAGUGAUAAGAUCCGUAGUCGAAAGGGAAACAGCCCAGAUCACCAGUUAAGGUCCCAAAAUUCAUGCUAAGUGGAAAAGGAUGUGGAGUUGCGCAGACAACUAGGACGUUGGCUCAGAAGCAGCCAUCAUUCAAAGAGUGCGUAAUAGCUCACUAGUCGAGUGACGCCGCGCCGAAAAUUUACCGGGGCUAAGCAUGAUACCGAAACUGUGGAUGUGCGUUUAUGCACGUGGUAGGAGAGCGUUCUAGCGGCGGUGAAGCAUGACCGAGAGGACAUGUGGAGCUUCUAGAAGUGAGAAUGCCGGUAUGAGUAACGAAAGACAGGUGAGAAUCCUGUCCGCCGCAAGACUAAGGUUUCCUGGGGCAGGCUCGUCCGCCCAGGGUAAGUCGGGACCUAAGGCGAGGCCGAGAGGCGUAGUCGAUGGACAACAGGUUGAAAUUCCUGUACUGCACCGAAUCGUUAUGAGCGAUGGAGGGACGCAGGAGGCUAGCAGCGCGUGGUGCUGGAUACCACGUUCAAGCGUCAAGUCUGAGAGCGAGUCAAAUGCUUGCUCUCAUAAGGACAAGGCGUGAUGAGGAGCGAAAUUAAAGUAGCGAAGGCUGCGACGUCACACUGCCGAGAAAAGCUUCUAGCCAGAGACGGUGCACCCGUACCGCAAACCGACACAGGUAGUCGAGGAGAGUAUCCUCAGGUGAGCGAGAGAACUCUCGUUAAGGAACUCGGCAAAAUGGCCCCGUAACUUCGGGAGAAGGGGCGCUGGUCGCAAGAUCAGCCGCAGUGAAAAGGCCCAAGCAACUGUUUAUCAAAAACACAGGCAUCUGCAAAAUCGUAAGAUGAAGUAUAGGUGCUGACACCUGCCCGGUGCUGGAAGGUUAAGAGGAGAGCUUAGCGCAAGCGAAGGUUUGAAUUGAAGCCCCAGUAAACGGCGGCCGUAACUAUAACGGUCCUAAGGUAGCGAAAUUCCUUGUCGGGUAAGUUCCGACCUGCACGAAAGGUGUAAUGAUUUGGGCACUGUCUCAACGAGAGACUCGGUGAAAUUAUAAUACCCGUGAAGAUGCGGGUUACCCGCGACAGGACGGAAAGACCCCAUGGAGCUUUACUGCAGUUUAAUAUUGGGUAUCUGUCAAGCAUGUACAGGAUAGGUAGGAGCCGGAGAAGAUAGGACGCCAGUCUUAUCAGAGGCGCUGUUGGGAUACUACCCUUGCUUGACGGAUGCUCUAACUCAGG